CAGUAGCCGCGGUAAUACAGAGGGUGCAAGCGUUAAUCGGAAUUACUGGGCGUAAAGCGCGCGUAGGUGGUUCGCCAAGUUGGAUGUGAAAUCCCCGGGCUCAACCUGGGAACUGCAUCCAAAACUGGCGAGCUAGAGUAUGGUAGAGGGUGGUGGAAUUUCCUGUGUAGCGGUGAAAUGCGUAGAUAUAGGAAGGAACAUCAGUGGCGAAGGCGACCACCUGGACUGAUACUGACACUGAGGUGCGAAAGCGUGGGGAGCAAACAGGAUUAGAUACCCCAGUAGUCCCUGUCUCUUAUAC
rnacentral:rRNA from 1 species